rnacentral:rRNA from 1 species
UACAGAGGUCCCAAGCGUUGUUCGGAUUCACUGGGCGUAAAGGGUGCGUAGGUGGCCAGGUAAGUCGGAUGUGAAAGCUCGGAGCUCAACUCCGAAAUGGCAUUGGAAACUGCCUGGCUCGAGGGUUGGAGGGGGGACUGGAAUACUUGGUGUAGCGGUGAAAUGCGUAGAUAUCUGGAGGAACACCCGUGGCGAAAGCGGCUCUCUGGGACGGUACUGACGCUGAGACGCGAAAGCGUGGGGAGCAAACAGG